rnacentral:rRNA from 1 species
GACGAACGCUGGCGGCGUGCCUAAUACAUGCAAGUCGAACGAACCGCGACUAGGUGCUUGCACUUGGUCAAGGUGAGUGGCGAACGGGUGAGUAACACGUGGGUAACCUACCUCAUAGUGGGGGAUAACAGUCGGAAACGACUGCUAAUACCGCAUAGGACAUAGGAUCACAUGAUUCUGUGAGGAAAGGUGGCGCAAGCUAUCGCUAAGAGAUGGACCCGCGGUGCAUUAGCUAGUUGGUAGGGUAAAGGCCUACCAAGGCGAUGAUGCAUAGCCGACCUGAGAGGGUGAUCGGCCACAUUGGGACGGAGACACGGCCCAAACUCCUACGGGAGGCAGCAGUAGGGAAUCUUCCGCAAUGGACGCAAGUCUGACGGAGCAACGCCGCGUGAGUGAAGAAGGUCUUCGGAUCGUAAAGCUCUGUUGUUAGAGAAGAACAGCGCAUAGAGUAACUGUUAUGCGUGUGACGGUAGCUAACCAGAAAGCCACGGCUAACUACGUG